rnacentral:tRNA from 9 species
CGGAGUAUAGCUCAGCUUGGUAGAGUACUACGUUCGGGACGUAGGGGUCGCAGGUUCGAAUCCUGCUACUCCGACCA